CAACCAUUUCAUGUUGAAACACUGGUUCUCAUAUGAUCACCAAAGUUAAGCAAUGUUGAGCCUGGUCAGUUUCUAGAUGGGUACCACUUGGGAAUACCAGGUGCUGUAAG